GAAAACCGCAGCGGCUUAUCUGC
rnacentral:siRNA from 1 species